UCCCUGAAGCUUAGUUCCACUUAUACAUAACUAGAAUCAGAAGAGAAAGAGACAAGUAGCCGGGCAAUCUCUUUCUAAAUAUUCCAAGAUGCUUCCAAGAUGCUUAGUUCCAUUAGGAGAGUCUCAUCUCAAUCCUUUUAAUUCAUCUUCCUAUUCAGUCAUUAUCUGCCUUGCAGAAUUCACCGAACAAACAACUGGAUAAAUCUUUCAUAACCUUUUUCUAUCAGCAUGCAUCCAAUACUAAAGGCUGAUCAAAAGAUCAUCAAAUCUUGACUUAAUCCAACCACUAAUU
rnacentral:lncRNA from 1 species